rnacentral:rRNA from 1 species
UGGGGAAUCUUGGACAAUGGGCGCAAGCCUGAUCCAGCCAUGCCGCGUGGAUGAUGAAGGCCUUAGGGUUGUAAAAUCCUUUCGCCGAGGACGAUAAUGACGGUACUCGGAGAAGAAGCUCCGGCUAACUUCGUGCCAGCAGCCGCGGUAAUACGAAGGGGGCUAGCGUUGUUCGGAUUUACUGGGCGUAAAGGGCGCGUAGGCGGUGUGUCAAGUCAGUUGUGAAAUCUCCGAGCUUAACUCGGAACGGUCAACUGAUACUGUCACACUAGAGUACAGAAGGGGCAAUCGGAAUUCUUGGUGUAGCGGUGAAAUGCGUAGAUAUCAAGAGGAACACCUGAGGCGAAGGCGGGUUGCUGGGCUGAUACUGACGCUGAGGCGCGAAAGCUAGGGUAGCAAACGGGAUUAGAUACCCCUGUAGUCCCUG